rnacentral:rRNA from 1 species
CCUACGGGCGGCAGCAGUGGGGGAUAUUGCACAAUGGGGGAAACCCUGAUGCAGCGACGCCGCGUGUGGGAAGACGGUCCUCUGGAUUGUAAACCACUGUCCCCAGGGACGAAGAAAGUGACGGUACCUGAGGAAUAAGCCCCGGCUACCUACGUGCAGGCAGCCGCGGUAAUACGUAGGUGGCAAGCGGUAUCCGGAUUUACUGGGUGUAAAGGGGGUGUAGGCGGGACUGCAAGGCAGAUGUGAAAACCACGGGCUCAAGCUGUGGCCUGCAUUUGAAACUGUAGUUCUUGAGUACUGGAGAGGCAGACGGAAUUCCUAGUGUAGCGGUGAAAUGCGUAGAUAUUAGGAGGAAAACCAGUGGCGAAGGCGGUCUGCUGGACAGCAACUGACGCUGAGGCGCGAAAGCGUGGGGAGCAAACAGGAUUAGAUACCCCUGUAGC